UACGUAGGGUGCGAGCGUUGUCCGGAAUUAUUGGGCGUAAAGGGCUCGUAGGCGGUUUGUCGCGUCGGGGGUGAAAACUCAGGGCUUAACCCUGAGCCUGCUUCCGAUACGGGCAGACUAGAGGUAUGCAGGGGAGAACGGAAUUCCUGGUGUAGCGGUGAAAUGCGCAGAUAUCAGGAGGAACACCGAUGGCGAAGGCAGGUCUCUGGGCAUUAACUGACGCUGAGGAGCGAAAGCAUGGGGAGCGAACAGG
rnacentral:rRNA from 1 species